rnacentral:lncRNA from 1 species
CAGAAAUCACAUAGAAACAGUGGUAUUAUUUCUUUUAAACAGUGUUAUCACUCCCCCAUAUAUUUUUCCAGAUGAAAUCAUAUGGAGAAUCCCAAAAUGGAAAACAAAUCCAUGUUGUUAAAGAAGGGAAGAAGGCCUCGAUCCCAGCCCAUGGUACCUACGGUUACCUCCCAGAAACCUCUGAAUCAAGCCAAGGAAUCCUGAGGAUUCUCUGUUGUGCAAAUCACUGCAGUGGAAUGAUGCAGUGGGGCAUAAGGACAAUGAAUCAGGUUGAAAUAAGUCAUUCAUGUGUGCUGCUGUUUGCACAGAUCUGUAAGAUCAGGGCAUAAAGAAACUUCAUCACUCAGUAAAGCUGUUCUGACCCCAGCCAAAACAAGGUAAAGAAUUAAGUGGCUACAUGUGUUAGUAGGAUAAAAUUGCCAUUAAUGUUGAAUACACAGAAUGAUGCUCUGAUCUCUUAUUGGACAAAGAAGUGCAUUGUAUUUAGGAUAAACAACAUACUCGAGAUAGUAGUCCAUUGUGUGUAUGGAGGCAGUGGUGAUCAUAUUGACAGGGAGACUGGUAGGAAAUGAAUCCUACUAUACCUUAUUAAAGGGAAAAGAAAAGGUGUUUCUGUUGAUAUUCUACGCAUCCCAUUCACUAGUUAUAGUAGAAU